GUGACACACUUAAACGGCCGCGGUACCCUGACCGUGCAAAGGUAGCAUAAUUAUUUGUUCUUUAAAUAAGGACUUGUAUCAACGGCAUCACGAGGGUUAUACUGUCUCCCCCCCCAAUCCAGUGAAAMUGACCUCCCCGUGAAGAGGCGGGGAUUAGUCUACAAGACGAGAAGACCCCAUGGAGCUUUAAACCCAAUGAUAACCUUCUCUCA
rnacentral:rRNA from 1 species